UUGUCGUCAGCUCGUGCCGUGAGGUGUGGUUAAGUCCGCAACGAGCGCAACCCCUAUUGAUAGUUGCUAAUAUUAAGUUAAGGAUCUAUUGAGACUGCCAGCGACAAGCUGGAGGAAGGUGGGGAUGACGUCAAAUCAUCAUGCCCUUUAUGACCUGGGCUACAAACGUACUACAAUGGCCAGAUACAAAGAGAUGCGAAGCCGCGAGGUGGAGCGAACCUCAUAAAAAUGGUCUCAGUUCGGAUUGGAGUCUGCAACUCGACUCCAUGAAGUCGGAAUCGCUAGUAAUCGCGGGUCAGCAGACCGCGGUGAAUACGUUCCCGGGUUUU
rnacentral:rRNA from 1 species